CAGAGAGAGAAAGAGAGAGAGUGAGAGAGAGACAGAGAAUAAUUUUGAGAUCUCCUUUCUUUCUUUCUUUCUUUCUUUCUUUCUUUCUUUCU